AUGCAGCAGGGAACAAGUGUUUAGGGUGAACUCAGACAGGACAUGAGGGGCUCAGCACCUUCCCUGCUUUUCCUCUUCUGCCUCUUAUUCACAGCUUUCAAUCCUGUGGGUAGAAUUAAUUUCUCAAAUCUGCUUUUAACAAUAUAAAUAUUAACUCUAUCAAGCUAUCUAAACAAAGUAAUGUUCCUAAGCUCCUCCAGGAAGAGCCUGAAAAUUUUUCUCAUCAUGUAGAUAGCUUUAAUACAUUUACUCUUGUAAGGAGUGUGCUUAACUCUGGUAAAUUAUGAAUGUACUCACAUACACAAAGAAAGAGCAGCCAGCCAGGGAGGAAAAGGGAGCUGGAUACCACCCCCUAUAAUUAAUUGCAUCUUUUCUUCUGCCACAAAGGUUCUCAACAAGAAUGGAAAAUUAGAAGGGUGGCUUCUUGUGACAAAUGAAGAAGAGUUAAUGUUCCAGAAAUAAAAUUUUGAUUCAAA